AACACAACAGGAAAUAGGAGAUUUAUUUCAUUAUGGAAAAGAGCAUCCAGAGCUCAAGGCGCAUGGAGACAGACCUCUACCUGCAAUGCCCCCCUUGCACUUGGACAGAACCAUGUAACUAUUUAUAAGCUAUGACACAUGAGCAGACAUGACAUGACGGGAUUGAUGGAGCAAUGACCUCAUCUUUUCUCCUGCCAAAUAUUAUGAAAGAGGACUCAAGUCACUCACCUAAGGGACACUGGCUGAAAGUCAGUAAUGAAGCUGAAAGGUCGCUAAAUGCUGGCAAGUGAGAUGGAUUAUAGUGUCUAGACUUUUUCCUGAGGUCAUUCUAUAUCCAGCAGAUAUCUUUCAGUAUAUAGUCUAUUCAAAACAAUGUGCUAGUGACUAUUGAGUGUGGUUACAUUUUUUUUUUUUUUUUUUUUUUGAGAUGGAGUCUCACUCUGUCCCCUAGGCUGGAGUGCAGUGGCACAAUCUUGGCUCACUGCAACCUCUGCCUCCUGGGUUCAAGCAAUUCUCCUGAGUCAGCCUCCUGAGUAGCUGAGACUACAGGCACCCACCAUCACGGCCGACUAAUUUUUGUAUUUUUAGUAGAGAUGGGGUUUCACCAUAUUGGCCAGGCUGGUCUUAAACUCCUGACCUUGUAAUCUGCCCACCUUGGCUUCCCAAAGUGCUGGGAUUACAGGAGUGAGCCACCAAGCCCAGCCAGUUACAUUCUUUAAACAAGGAGUGGACAUACCCUGAAACAAGAGAUUAGUCAAAGAGAUUUUGCUAUUCAUGGGACCUAAAAGGUGGCUGUACUUCCCUUUACUGCUUUUCCAUACACAGCAAUGCAUGCUGUAUGGGUUCUUAUAGGUCAGAGCGUGAAAGAGAACCAGGACCUAUAAAAGAAUACAAGUCUCUAAAAUCAGAAAGUUUAUUAUUUAAAAAAAUAGUUAUGUGCCAGUCUGCUUAUAAUUUUAUUUUUAUGACUGAGAGUGCCUUUCAUAAGCACAUUCUGGCAAACUAUAAAACAAAUAAAUUGAAAUUGAAUAAAACCUUUAGACAUUAGAAGUGUAGCACCAGAUUUAGUACAUAACUGCAAAACUUAAACAUGCAAUUUUACAUCUGCAAGCACAUUAAAUUGAAAGAAACUUUAACUUAAUUUAGAUACAUUAAUUGAUACAAACUUUUCUGGUAUAUAGCACUUCUUGGCGCAUUGAGUAUUCUUAAUCUUUAAGGCACAUGAAUAUAAUACCUUAGGAAAGAUCUGUUCUCCACACAUUUCCUCUAUAAAGUGCCAAAAAAAAAUAACGAAGAGCCAGUUUGUCUUCCGCAUCAGUGUGAUUUAGCAUACAUAAAUAAGUAUCUUUUCACACAAAAUAAAAGGUUCAGAACCCAAAGUGUCUGAUUUUUAUAGUGCUUUUUCUUUCCUUUUAAAAAGAUAGCAAGAUGAGGGUAAGAGGUAAUUUAAGAGAAGUAAUCAUCUUCUAACAGCCAGCUUGCAGAAACUAAAACAAAUAUCAAUGAUGUAAAAAUGUUGUUUUGACACUUUGGUAAAUGAAAGUGUGAGAUGAGUAAGAAUAUAUUAUAGGUGCUUGUAUAUCAAAGGCCUGUGAAAAUGGCUGAUUAUAAAGGAGAAAGUUAAUGAUCUCUAAUUGUGUUGUAAUGUAAAUGCAGUAUCACCGUAAUGAAGAGAACAGAUUUGCAUGUUAACAAAAGAAAUAUUAGAGGAGUGAGUGUAGGAUGUUUGGGAUAAUUAAUUCCAUCCUCCACUCCUACAUACAUAUGCAUAUACAAACUCAAUUCAAUUUUAAAGAGAACCCGAAGAACCAAAAAUAGACUGAACACACUUGAUGUUGUAUGGGAGCUUAAAUUACUAUUUUUGUUGUUCUCUGUGACUAUCUCAUUUAGUUUCUAUUGUGUUUGCAAUUUCUUCCAAGGUGAUUUUUAAUGGAUUGAGUAAUGCAUAAAAAUUUGCAGAAGUAUGCAGAAAGUUUGUAUGCAGGGCCAUGUAGAGCUUUUAUCCUACAGUAAAUCCUAGUAGUUUGCUGGUGCUGUGUGAUUUUUUUUGUUUGUUUAGGGUUUGUGUGUGUGUGUGUGUGUGUGUGUGUGUGUGUGUGUGUGUGUGUGUGAAGCUUAUUUAUUCCAUUUC